ACUCCUACGGGAGGCAGCAGUAGGGAAUAUUGCACAAUGGGCGCAAGCCUGAUGCAGCGACGCCGCGUGGGGGAUGACGGUCUUCGGGUUGUAAACCUCUUUCAGUAGGGACGAAGCGCAAGUGACGGUACCUACAGAAGAAGCACUGGCCAACUACGUGCCAGCAGCCGCGGUAAU
rnacentral:rRNA from 1 species